AAUCAAGUGGAGGACAAGUCUGGUGCCAGCACCCGCGGUAAUUCCAGCUCCACUAGCGUAUAUUAAAGUUGCUGCAGUUAAAAAGCUCGUAGUUGAACCUCUGUCUGGGGCUAGUUUUGGCUUUGGUCAGGCUAGUUCUAGGCAUCCGCCUACAAGACUUAGAGGGCAUUCAGUUGUUCACUAGGAGGAGUAGGCAUUUUACUUUGAAAAAAUUAGAGUGUUUAAGGCAGGCAAUCGCCCGCAUAUAUUAGCAUGGAAUAAUAGAAUAGGACACUUUUCCAUUUCGUUGGUUAUUGGAAUCGUGUAAUGAUUAAUAGGGACAGUUGUGGGCAUUUGUAUUUAAUUGUCAGAGGUGAAAUUCUUGGAUUUAUUAAAGACAAACUAACGCGAAAGCAUUUGCCAAGGAUGUUUUCAUUAAUCAAGAACGAAAGUUAGGGGAUCAAAGACGAUCAGAUACCGUCCUAGUCUUAACUAUAAACUAUUCCGACUCAAUGUUUGACUGGCUUAUAUAACCAGUUGAGCGUUGUAUGAGAAAUCAAAGUCUUUAGGUUCUGGGGGGAGUAUGGUUGCAAAGCUGAAACUUAAAGGAAUUGACGGAAGAGCACAACCAGGAGUGGAUUCUGCGGCUUAAUUUGACUCAACACGGGGAAACUUACCAGGUUAAAACAAUAGUGGGAUUGACAGUUUGAGAGCGCCUUCUUGAUUGGUUGGGUGGUGGUGCAUGGCCGUUCUUAGUUGGUGGAGUGAUUUGUCUGCUUAAUUGCGUUAACGAACGAGACCUUAACCUGCUUACUAGACUGGCGAUCAUCAAUCGUUAGCUCUUCUUAGAGGGACUUUGGUUGUUUUAACUCCAAGGAAGUUUGAGGCAAUAACAGGUCUGUGAUGCCCUUAGAUAUCCUGGGCCGCACGCGUCAUACAAUGACUAGUUCAGAAAGUUUUCUCCUGACCCGAAAGGGGAUGGGUAAUCUUGAUAAUACUAGUCGUGUUAGGGAUCGAUCUUUGCAAUUAUAGAUCUUGAACGAGGAAUUCCUAGUAAGUGCGGUUCAUCAGACCGUACUGAUUACGUCCCUGCUCUUUGUACACACCGCCCGUCGCUUCUACCGAGUGGGUGGUCCGGUGAGAUAAUUGAACUUCGCAGGUAACUGAGAGGAAAGAUUAUCAAACCUAUCCACCU
rnacentral:rRNA from 1 species